AGGGUCGGAACCAGGGAAGGACGGGAGACCGGACGGGGCUGAACAUUCAAACAUGCCAUAUCAUAUCGCUUAUUUAUGUUUUCACCACACCAGCGGUACACCACAUGGAUCUGUGGCCUGCUGUACAUCAUAUACACACGGACACGGAAAGCAUCACAGGCGGGUGCAGCUCCGACCCUGCGAGAUCCACCGUCGGCGAUGAGCCUGUGAUCUAAGACAUCUUGACGUGCUCCAUGCGCUGCCUCUCCAUGUACUCGAAGAGGCUGCCGUCGUACAUGCGCCGGAUGGCCUCCCUCGACAGGUACCCUUCGUCGUCCCGCGCCAGCACGUACAGGAUCGACCACUCCAGCUUCAUCGCCACCCUGCAUCCAUCCGUAUCAUCUCACACCAGUCAGUUAUACAACAACAUAGCCGCAGCAUGUAGCGACUGAAACUGAAGGUCCAGUCAUGCUGAUCGUGUAAUUAGUCGGUUACCAGCCGAAGAAAUCGAACACCUCCCGGGACCCCUCGGUCAUCCGCCACAGCUCCCUGUAGCUCAGCCUGUCCGGGUACGUGCGGGCGUACUUGCUGAAGAUGUUCUCGAAAUUCACCGGCAUGAACCUGCACAACAUACAACACACAUUUCACAUUCGCCGCCACCACGUCGGUACAUAAUUAACAGUAAUUACUACUACUACACACCGGCCCUCUUUGUCGUAGGUGCCCGAGUCACUCCCGUGCUUGCUCUUGUGGAUGUUGUGCACGUAGAUAGGGAAGAGAGGGUUGGGCAGCCAACCCUGCACAGCCACAAAUCACAGUCAAUACAUAUACAAAAGACUACUCCCUCUGUUCCUAAAUAUUUGUCUUUCUAGAGAUUUAAUAUUUGUACGGAGAAAAACUGAGUGAAUCUACACUCUAAAAUUUGUAGGGAGUAAAUGAAGCACGGUGUGAUUUCUGAAGUCGAUUCCUCUAUUCGAGGGAUAGCUCACUCACGGGCAGGGUGGGAUAGCUCAUGACCAGGUUCACCAGAAACGCGAUGAAGGCAGACAUGAACACGUUGAACCCAACCGCACGGCAUCCUACAUCAACCGACAAAAAGGAAGACGUUAAAUGUCUUCUGCGCCAGCCGAACUGAAAUCACAAAUCAAGACGAAGCGCGGUGCAGCACACGUACGUACCCUCGUAAGUCUCCCACGGAUAGAUGAUGCCGUUGUUGUCGCGGUCGAAGAAGGCGACGUGCUGCUGCAGCACGCUCAUGUUGUGGUGCUGGUGAUCAUCCGUCGUCCCCUCCGGGUGGUACAUGUCCGGCGCCGCCAGAGCCCUCGCCAGAUCUGCUCAGCCCAAUUAUUAACAUCAUAAAUAUGCCAGUGAAAGACUGAAAUGGCAGAUGUAUGUAUGCGUUGCGUACAGGGCUUGGGGACGUGCUCCUCGAGGUCGCCGCGGACGGGGCGCUCCACGGUGACCGGCGCCUGCAUCGCGACGAUCUUCAGGGAGUCCUUCCCCCCGAUGCCCCGGAGGUCCUCGAUCUUGCUGCCCGCGUCGCCAUGCCCAUCCGUCCUGUUUGCACCCCGGUGGCCGACGCCGCCGGCGGUGUCGUGGUCGCCCUUCGCCUCACGGACGACGUGCCCGUCCGCGGCGUCGCCCUUCCCGUCCGUCCUGCUCGCGUCACGGACCUCGACCUUGCGCCCCUUGGUGGCCAUCUUCGCCGCUCUGCGACGGCGCACCAGAACAGGGUGGCAACCGAUGAACCGUGAGCGGAAUCGUGGAGAAGGUAACUUGCAGGCAAGCUGUGGAGUGCUGCUUCCGCUUCUGCUACCGAGGUUACAGUGUGUGUGGGGUAGCGCCGAGGCCGCGCAACCAUAUAAAGCGGCUCAGAGCCCCUGGUACGUGGCGGCGGCGGCACGACGUGGGCGCAUGCAUGGCGCUGCCGCCCUGCUCGGCCGUAACGUGUCGCUGGGCGGCGCACCUACUCACCGAAUCGUCGUGUCCGGAGGUUUCUCAUGGCAUCUCGAGGGCUUGAGUAAACCACUCCGGUCGUCGUCGAGCGGGGGCGGCUUUGUCUCGCCUUUGGCGAAAAGGUACGUACCGUCGCAUCCGGUGCUAUUUAAAUUGGCCAGACCCAUAAGCGCGCACACCAACAAACUCUGUUUAUAUUUCGAAAUAUUCUACGUGUAAAUACUUCAAAAAAUAUUUUCUUAAAAUUUUCAAAUCGUUCAUAACGCGUUCAAAAAAUAUUAAUGCGGUGUUAAAGAUGUUCGUGAAACUUUUUUUAUACCAUUAAAGAAAGGUUCACGUGCUUAAAAAUUUGUGACAUCUAGAAAACAUUUUAUAGAAAAUGUAAAAAAAACUCACGUGAUUAAUUUUUUUUUUUGCCAUUUAAAAAAAAUGUUCACACAUUUCAAAAAUAUGUUUUUCAGAUUUGUAAAAAAAUAUAUUAUACAUGUAUCAUGUAGUUUAAAAAAAUGUUUCAUACUGUUCAACAAAAUAUUUUGAAAUUUAAAAAACGUUCACGUUCCCAAUAAUAUGUUAGUGACCUUAAAAAUGUUUAUACAAUGUAAAAAAUGUUCAUCUACUUUAAAAAAAUGCUUAAUACCAUUCAAAAAAUGUUCGGUGCAUAUUUGAUUUUUUUAAAAUUUAAUUCAAACAAAAAUCAAAUGUGUAUUAGUAAAAAAUGUUCAUCAUGCAUUUGAGAAAUGGUGAAUGUGUAUCAAAAAGAUGUUCCGCGUGUAUAAAUAAGAUGUACAUCAUGUAUUGAAAAAAUUGGACAUGUAUUUGAAGAAAUAAAACGAUAAGAAAAAAAAUUUGAAGAACCCUGAAGAAUAACGAUGAAAGAAAGAAAAAAAGCCGAUGAAAACCGAUAAGAAAAACAGAAACCUGGUGCCAAUGAAAGAAACACAAACCUUCUAAAACUGGACCGAACCGGUCCUUAAAAGCUUCCCAAAACCGCUCUUGGCAACUACAGUACUGAGCUGGUCCACUAAUCUGGUGCCAAAGGUGAGACCGAAGGAUUCCCUCGGUGAUAUAACUCUAGUGGUCAUCAGAAGUCAAGAAAGCUGGUGAAGUUAUAACCAUGGGCUUCUCAUUUCCUACAGCCAGGAUGUAAAGUCCAGGGGCACAUAAAUUGUCAUGGGAUUCUUGUAAUUGAAAUUGAGGAUGUGGGCCUCUUGAAUUCUCGUCCUCCUCAUAUAGCCCAUACAAUACAAAUAGUAUAUAAUAUAACACAAAACUAAACUGCGUAGCAUUCAGAUUUCGUCCAUUUGGGGGGGGGGGGCGUCAUGGGAUUAACCAGCGCUUGACAACUGUUUUUCCUCCUGAUUUGUUGUACAUCGAUUUCUUUGAUUUGGCUGAGGUAAAUUGUUUGAGGUCGCAUCAUUUUAACGCGGGAUAUUUCGAGCCAUUAUUGACGGGGGAAUAGACCCCGGGUAGCCUCAUCCGCACCUUAGCAGAUUUCAAGACAUCAGGGCUAGCCUAGCCCCUCAGUCCGACUGGUCGCAAGGCCGGCCUCCGCGGCCGGCUGGAACCAACCGGCCGCCUCCUAGAAGGCGGCGCACCUCAAAAGGCGGUGAGGGCAUGGGCCAACUCCUGGCAGGCGGUCCAUCACCACCUCAAAGUCUGCACCCACCUGCUACGACAAGACAGGGUGUGGCAACAGUGCCACCUGCCACCUCCGAAUCCCGGAAAGAACGUGGCUACAGUGCGGACGUACCAGGCGGACACUCCGUAGAAGUCCAUCAGCGAGCGGAGGAACCCGCUCGCCGGAAGGCCGAAGUCGCAAAGAAAAUGCGCCUGAAAGACGACGAACUCGCCGUCCUUCAGCGCCGGAGAGAUUUCCCUGGCAGGGGGAGACACACCUUGACGCCGGUGUGAUGAGGAAGGCGCCGCAUCUCGCGGAGGAACUGAAUGUGGUCCUCGUGGACGAUGGAGCCGUCCUAAUCGCCGGUGUGGCCGCUGAGCGCCAUGGGCUCCGUGCUCGGCAGUGACGCGAGGCGGCAGCGGUGAAGAAAAGGCCGGCGACGACGAGCUGCAGCAGUGCUCCGGUGAGGGUAGAAAGCAUGGUGGCAGCGAAGAAGAAGAAGCAAGACAGAGGGGGAGGACGGCGCGCAUGCGUUCUGCCGCCCCGUCCUCCCCCUACUUAUAGCCUCGCGCCGGUGGAGCCGAGGGGGCAAGGCGUGGGGGAGCGUGGGAUUAACUGCGCCCACUCCCCCCACGACCCCGCAAAUUCCAUGCCUUAAAGGCGUCUAUUAAACCGUCCUGGAAGAGCAAUUGUCCGCAGUGGAUCCAUGCACGUACCGAGGCCUUGUAGUGGCGGGCCCGGGCCUGCGGCAAUGUUCCGUCGUGCGCGUUGGCUGGCAGGCCAACCUGGCCGCCAGGCGCUGCAUGGCGGGCAGCCAGCGGGCGGCGAGCCUGUCGCUCAGCCGGCACGCCACCUGGCCCCCACCACGACUAUUCGAAGUCCGCCAGGCGGCCGCGACCUCGUCCGGCUCCUGGCGCCCGACUCCUCCCAGGCGGACGGAGCAGAAGGCGGAAGGCCACUUAAAGAGGGAAACUGCUGAGGCUCCCCGGCUGCCCAAGCCGUAGAACCUCACCAGCUUCGGGGACUACUGACGGGGGGAUAGACCCCGGGUAGCUGUCGGUGUCAAAACUGGCGGAUCUCGGGUAGGGGGUCCCGAACUGUGCGUUUAAGGCUAAUGCCCAGACUCCUUCCUCCACAUCUCGGCGUUUAUCACCACGUGCGAGGCCUUCCUCCGUAUUUCCCCACACUUCGGCUUAUGGCUUAAGACCUUUAACGUGAAACCAAAGGUAAUCGACGUGAAACAAGCAGAGUGCGGAGGUGCUUCAAUAAGCAAACUUACCACUUCCCCCUUGCCGAAGGGCUCCUUCGCAGAACCUUCUGACUUAUGGCAACGGGGGUGGUUUUACAUUACCGAACCCCGUGGUACAAAGCAGGUAGCUGCACCUGCGUUUCGAUCGGGCCCUCCGCUUCAGCUUGCAUCAUGGGUAAACAAAGGGUUGGACUGGGGUUCUGUUUAUGAAGUGCAGACAUUGUAAAGUCGUAUUUGGAGCCUCAUUAAGAAGGACACCGGCCUCACCAAUAUCAUCCAAGUAAUGCUAGUCCGCCAGAUCCUUUCGUGCCAGUGGCGUCCUCUCCGCAUGUGGGAGUUCAAUCCAGAAGGUCUACGGACCCUUCAACACUUCUCCGGCACAAUGCUUAGAGAGAUGUGGAAUUUAUUCUUCGGCGCACGAAAAUAGUGGCCGGAUAGAACAGAAGACAUCGGUCUUGACUGCAAUCAUUCGGAUACUCCGGUAAGUACUUGACUCCUGAACACAGUUUAGUCAGAUUACUCAUAACAAUGUAUUGAUGAAACUCUACUCGGCCAAGGCUGGCUAAAGAAGGCGGAGAGAAUCAGGUGUUCGACUCCACUUCCCGAAGACCAUGUUGAUCCGGUGUUAAGAAGGAUGUUGGCUUCGGUGCCAUAUCAAGUGCCAGCGGGGGAGGAUAAGGAGGAGAGCGAAGAGGCCCAAGGCGACCUUCAUUCUGGAGGUACACCAGGCAAUUUGUCCGGGUAGAUCGGAACUUCCACUUCCAAAAGUGGAAGGGAAGGGAAAGCUGACAUCCCUUCUCCUCAUGGGAAGAAGCGGACCGCCUCCGAAGGCUUGAAGAGAGAAGCUUCUAAGCGGGGGAAGAUAUCCCAGUCAGGGGAUGAUGCUGACACGCAGUCGCUCCGUAAAGAUAAGCCCCUAGUCGGACCGUAAGUGAACCAGGGUGUUCUAAACCUACCCCAUUCUUUCCUGGCUGUAAGGGUAACAUUUUAAACACAUGUUUGCAGUCCGACACGCAGCCCUCCCCAAUAGUCCUCCUCUUCGGGGGAUCUUCUUCCGGAGAUGAUGGAGAGUGAGACGCCUCCACAAAUUUCCCAGCCUGAUAAGGCAGACCAUGCCGAGGUGUCGUCCCGGAGGAUCUUUCCCAAUCAACGAGUGGCGCAAGAGGCAGUGAAGACCGGGGCCGAAGGUAAUACUUCGGCCGCCCAGGGUCCGGGGUGUGCAGCCCCUACGGGGAACAACAAAAGUCCCGGACUAUCCAAUGUCCAAGGGACGACGCAACCUGUUCCGGAUCCGGGGGCGCCGGAUACAUUGAUGUACAUAUUGCAACAUGCCUUCGUCUUAGAGGAAAAUCGUACCUUGAUGGGUACGGUGGUUGAAAGAGUUCGGUCCAUGAAAAGCGGAUUGAAUGAAGCCUUUACGAGCCUACUAAGAGGCUUCGAGGUACGUAGUGUAACUUCGAUUAUAUUAUAAAUGAAAAUUGCACCUGUGUAUAGAUAGUAGCCCCUGAGACUCUGGUUAACAUCCAAAGGGAGGCGAUCAGAGGGUCAAAAUUAUAUGCCAAGGAAAUGAUCUGACUAACUGAAACACAGGCUGUUACAUCCGCCGCAACUGAACCCAAGCUACAGAGGUAGCACAUCUGAAGCAGAAAGUUGAUGUAGUGGAUGAUGACAUCACGCUUAUUAACAGGCGGCUCGACGAGGCACAAGGUAUGUCUCUGGGGCACUCAGUACAUGCUAGUAUUGUGAAAUGAGUGUGAUACUGAAAAAUUGUAUAUGCAUGACUGCAGAUAGUGCCACCGCAGUUGAGAACCUUUGGGCCGAACUUGCCCGGGCCAAGGAGCAAGCCAGGAUGAGUAAUGCGGCUGUCGAAAAGGUAGCCGCCGAAUAAAAGGCCGAGCAGACUGCUCGGUGUCAGUGCGAGGAGAGAAUAUCUUCUAUGGCACUUGAACUGAAUGAUGCCACUAGCCGAUGCCAAGUUCUUGAGAAAGAUAACAAAGUCAAAGCGGUCGAUCUUGACAAGGCCUUACAAGAGGCGAAGGAAGCUCGGUUUGAGUCUAGAGCAGCUCGGGAGGAGAUCCGACAAGCUGGGGAGAUCGCGGCUGGUAAGCCCUUUUUAUUGCAAACUAAGUUUGGUGAUCCGAAGUAUGCGCCGCUUAAUCAACUAUGGAGUUCUCCAGACACCUUUAUGGACCUGCGGAAGAGUGUUGCUGAUGCGAAUCAAUUUUUCCACACGCAAGAAGGACAUGCGACGGAAAAACUAUUUUGGUCGCAAUUUGACACGCCAAAGCGUCCACUGUUGAACGAACAGAUGGCCCAAUGGGCCGAGCUCCACAAGAUGUUUGGUACUAUCAUGAAGGACGUCAUAGCCCGGCAGUGGCCAACUGAGCCCAUUCCAAUAGUUAUUUCAGUUUGGUGCAACAACUUGUUAAUGCGGUGCCGUGUGUCGACGCUGUGAAGCGGUCGACGUGCAUAGAAGGUGCACGGAUGGCCCUUGCCCAUGUCAAGAUGUACUGGGCGAAGAUGAAGGCCACCGAUAUUGUAGCGCAGAGUCCACCCGAGGGCAAGGACCUUAACAUGCCAGAACAUUACUUUGAAGAUGUCCUAGAGGGUGCCCGCUUGAUAGAGGGUCAGUGCUCGAAAAAUAUUAUGUUCGAGUGAAGUGUAUCAAAAUUGGAAUAACAAUAUUAUGAUAUAUUUAAGGCUGUGUUUUUAUACUUUUUGCCCGAAAAGUUUUGGUGCCUCCUGUGUGGCCGUCUUUUUUAUAUAUACAAUCUGAAAGUUUGCAGUCGUCGGCUUCAGCCCCCUCGCGUAUAACGCAGGAGUGUUCGGAAAAGCACUUGAUCACACUUGACCCAAUGUCUUGGUCCGUUAAGGAGGUGUUAGUGUGGCAAACUAGGCAAUCAGACUAUAGAGCUUUAACACUUUCACUUAGCCAGAGAAGUUUGAAGGUGGGGCUACUAUAUAGCCCCUGGUAUGUCCGCGGUUAUCCGAAUAUGGUGCGUUUACAUAUGUGACCAAAGGACGGUCCUUCGUUUAACACGGAGGGAAUCGCGAAGAUUCCGAUGAGUCAUCGAGUGGUUGACCAGCUCUCGCCACAUCAUGACAGUCAGUUUUUGGCUUUCUCUACUGAGGUGCUGAUCUGGACGAGCCAGGGCACAAUCGCAGUAGUUCUUCCUUUACUACCCUAGAUGAUAUAGCGGAACGUAAGGUAGUAAGCACAGGAGCCAGGCAACCCAACUAUUGACCAAAGACAUGAUUCGGAGCUGAUGCAUAUAAUGCCAAACUCGCGACGCCGAACACUCCCUACAGGUGUCCGGACUUUUCAGUAUACAUCGGGCUGAAUACAUCCCCUGGUGAUAAACCCUGGUAUCAAGGCACGUAUGGCAAUCCGACGUGGGGAAAGAGUGUAGGUGGUGAGAGCAUAAAUCUCAAAACAUAAUACGAACCGAGCUGCUUCUAUAACAUCCACUUUAGUAUGGCGAGCCGUAUGUCUACAGAUAAUGCCGAUAUCUUUCUUGGACAUUUUACAUGCCAUUAAAGUAUAAAACAACAAGAGAUAAAAAAAGGUUUACACAAGGUCUUAAUCUAAAAAAGAAACCUUAAUGCGGGGCCCUGCUGUACGUCUGCGCAUUUGUCUCCGUUGUGAAGUGUCCUUGAAGGGUAUAGUAUGAUGGCCAUCUGUAAAAAAGGAAGAAACCAGGUAAAAUCAUCUGGUGUGGCCGUAAGUAAAGCUAGUUCGUAUUAAUGAACCAUGAAAUAUAACUUCUGGAGUCCGAAUAGGGUCGAGCCAAACUAUGGACUUUUUGUGUGCAGUGUGCCCCCGGUGCCACCCAAGGCAUUUUGGUUGUAUAUUUAUGUAUACAUGGCACGUGUGCUAUCUCCUUACGGGGCGGUCGGUGGGGGCGUGGCUGCUGAUCAAGCUUAGGUUUGUCUGAGCUACCACACUAAGGUGUGCGCCGAACACGUUUAGUUGUGUACACGGUCUUAAAGACCGAUGAGCUACUCGGCUUGAAUAGGCCGUUUCGUGCUUCCACUACUAGAGCCGCCGUGUAUUCUUCUGUAGGAAGAGAGCGCUCCGUAUUUCCGCUGACCGUGAUGACGCCACGUGGUCCAGGCAUUUUCAAUUUUAGAUAGGCAUAAUGCGGGACUGCAUUAAAACGGGUGAAGGCCGUUCUUCCGAGUAGUGCAUGAUAGUUGCUUAAGAACGGAGCAAUGUCGAAGAUUAGUUCUUCGCUUCGAAAGUUGUCGGGAGAGCCGAAUACAACAUCCAAUGUUAGAGAGCCCGUGCGGGAGAAUUGAAUAAGUUUACAGGAUACAACAACGUUCCUAGCGAGUUCCGCUCCUAGCGAGUUCCGCUCCCCCCGCCGGCGGCCACUCCGGCCCCGGUGUCCACCUCCGCUUCCGCCGGCGGCCACUUCAGGCCCCGGCGCCCCCCUUCCCCGGCGGCCUCCCGGGCCCCGGCUUUUUCUUCCGCGGCGCUCGCUAGGGGGCCGUUCCGCCAUGCCUUCGGGUCCAGCCAGCCCCGCCUCGGUGUCGUCGAGGCUGCAUCCCAUCAUCUCCGGAUUGGGGCUCUCAGCCUCGUCCAGUUCUGCGGGUGCGUCCAUUAGUGCUGGAGGUGCGCCGGCCCGUGCUUUCGAUGGCCCGGCUGCGGCCACCUCCGUGCCAUGGCGCAAGCCAGGGCCGUCCCGCAAGGCUCUCUGGCGCAAGAGGAAAGCACUUCGGAAGCAGGCGACGGCGGGUGGAGCCCAGUCGCGCUCGCCGGCGUCGUCCCAAGAGAGGAGAGAGAUCCCGGCGGAUCUAUUUGGCCUCUGCUUUUCUUGCUUCAGGGAGGGUCACCGCCGGGAAGAUUGCGAUUUCCCACCGCUGUGCAUCCGGUGUGGUCUGGAGGGGCACAUUUCUACGGAGUGCAAGCGGCCGAGGAGCCCAAGGUCGGAAGAAGAUCUCCGGCGGGACGCCGUUGCCAAGGUUGCGCGUGCUUCGCAGCCAUUGAUGCAGGCCGGACUCGCGAACAGGCUGUCGUCGGCGACUAGGAAGACCGCUCCGUUGGAGAGGUCCUCGCCAGUGCCGGUCGACACUGCACCUGUGGGGUUCGGGCAGGCAUCGGCUGCAGCUGUUGCUUCCGGUGGCAUCUACGUGCUCCGUAGGACGCCGGAGAUGGAGGAUCUUGAGCAGCGUUUGAGGCUGGCGGUGGUGGCGUACGUGGGCGGUACUCGGCCCCCGGUGUCGUGCCGGGAGGCGGCGGAAGGAGUGUCGAUGGCCCUGCACAUUCCCCUCCAUCGGUUCUCUGUUCACAAAUUCCAUCCCGAGGACUUCCUGGUGGUUUUCGCCUCGCCGGAGCUGCGUAACAAGGCGUUGGCGGCGGGCACCGUUGAGUAUGGCUACUUCAAGUUGUUCAUCAAGCCAUGGCUCAAGCAGGCACAAGCGGUGUCCAGAGUGAUGCGUACUCAAGUUGAUCUCAUGAUCGAGGGGAUUCCAUCUCAUGCGUGGACGAUCGAGACGGCGGCCGGGCUCCUUGGUUCGUCAUGUCUGGUCGAGAGUUUGGCUCCAGAGACAGCAAAUCGCGAAGAUCUCUCCCUCUUCAAGCUACGAGCCUGGUGUGUGGAUCCUGAUGAAGUGCCGGCGGACAAGCGACUGUGGGUGCCGGAACCGGAGGAGAACAGAGGGCCGGCAGCAAGGUCACCGACGUCCCGUGCUUUGCUGGAGUAUAAAACAUCAUCCACAUUGGAAGGCUGCACGAGCACGAGGGUCCAGAGCGUUGGCUCAGGCCUCCUAGUUCCGGUGGCAGCGGGCAGAGCGGCUUGCCGGGGAACUCUGAGGACUUUUCGGGUCGGGGAGAAUGGCGCGUCCUGCCAUGGUCGAGGGGUGCACGUGAUCACCGCGGUGGGGCGCCGGGCAGAGGUGCGCACGGCGGCUCCUACAAGCAGGCUCUGUUGGGUCGUAUUGGGCCGUCAGAGUGGAGGUUACCGCCGAUGGCUCGUGGCAAGGAGGUGUCGGCGAGCGCGCCCGUGGUCACCACGGCCGCUGCGACAGGGGCUUGCCAGGGAGGAGCGGUGGCUGCUGCACAAGCUAUGCAGGAGGCGCAGUUUACCACAGAUGUUCCGGUGGCGCAGUUUGCCACAGACGAUCCGGGCAGGUGUCAUGGGCCCCUGCCACGCCAGGAGGUUACAGUUGCCAUCAUUCCGCGCGUUCCGUUGGGCCCGGGUAGCCAGACUUUUGACCAUGUGAUGAGUAGAGAUCAGGCACCCACCAAUGCCAGCUCGCAACAGAGGAUUCACAGCGCGAUCCGCGCGGAUCCCAUGGGAGAUGACCAUGCGCAGGAUGAGACGUGCCAGGAGGCGGGUUUUCGGGACUCUAAUCCCGCCAUUCCGCCCGCUGUUGAUUUGGUGGGGGUCGCCAAUUCCGUGGAGCUAGCCCCACUAGAUCCGCUGCCCGACAAAGUCGUAGAGGAGUUGGCACCGGUCUUGGACGCGCUGCAGCUAGCGACAACGGAGACGAUCGAUAGGCCUUCUGCUAAUUUGGUGGACCCGGGUCCCAGUAUACAGGAGGCUGGUGCUGGUUUUGAGGGAGCCCAUGUGACCGCGCCAAUUGCAGGCAUGCAAGAGCCGUUGCAUGGCGGCAAUGGUUCUGAUGCUGGUGCAAUUACUGUGCAGCACCGCGAGGAGAAUCUAUCAGCGAAAGAUAUCACUGCGCUUGGGAACAUAAAGGCGUUUUGCGCUGGGUUGCUUAAAAAGCUUGCCCCGCCGCUUCUCAAGGAGUUCGAAGGGCUGCGAGGGGUUAAACCAGGCCAUGACCCGUUUACCCCACGCUGCACAACUCGAUCCGUCUGUGAAAGUAGCUCUAGGAAGACGAAGGCCUCGGCAGCUGAGACGGUGCUGCUUAGAACCUUGGGCUUGGACUGUGAUGAUCUGGCGGUCUCGGAAGAUGCGCUAGGUCAGCUCCGUACAGUGUUCGACUCACCACUCCAGGAGUCGCAGUUGAGGGCCAUCGCGGCUAUCUUCGGGAAGGCGAUACCGCUCAACCUCGCAGAGGAGGUAGGGAUGGCGGAGCCGAUCUUGGCGCAGUAGGCACGUUGGUGCCGGUGGUGUUGGAGGCAUUUCGUUCUGAUGUCGUUCAAUGCUUUGGAUUUAGUGUGUUGGAAUGUAAGAGGCCUUAACAGUCCGGCCAAAAGGAAGGCGCUUAGGGGAUUUGUGGAUUCCACUCGCGCGGCGAUUGUUUGUAUCCUAGAAACUAAACUUGAGGUGGUAGACACUUUUGUAAUCUUACAAUGCAUGGGGCUGAAUUAUGAUGGUUUCACUUACUUACCGGCGUCGGACACGAGAGGCGGUAUCUUUGUGGCAUGGGACACCACACGGGUCCUCCUGUCAAAUUAUGUAAAUGACUCCCACAGCAUUUCAACAUACGUAUCGCCCAAGAAGGAAGAGCCAUGGUGGCUCACAGUAGUAUAUGGGCCUCAGGAAGAUGAGCGCAAAAUAAACUUCCUCAAUGAGCUUUCGGAGCGUAGAUCCCUAUGUCCAGGGCCAUGGCUCGUCUUGGGAGAUUUCAAUCUCAUCCUUUAUGCGGCAGACAAAAACAACUCUAAUUUGGAUAGGGGAAUGAUGGGGAAGUUCAAGCGGUUUGUGGAUGAUAAUGCGCUCAAGGAGCUCUUUUUGCAUGGACGCAAAUUCACGUGGAGCAACAAAAGGGAGACGCCCACGCUUAGAAAGAUCGACCGUGCGUUUUCUUCCAUAGAUUGGGAGCUAGACCACCCGGAGUGCCUGCUGCAAGCUUUAUCUACUGAGCACUCCGAUCAUUGCCCACUCCAUCUUGCUCUUGAGGAGCACAUGCAUGCCAGAAGGAGGUUCCGUUUUGAAAAGUUCUGGGUCAAAAUGGAUGGAUUUUUGGAUGUUGUCAAGGAGGCCUGGGUCUGUGAUCCGGAUAUCACAGACACGUUCUUGCGCUUAGACAUCAUGCUUCGAAACACAGCCCGAGCGCUUGCUAGAUGGGGGCAGAAGGAGAUCGGGAACAUUAAGCUGCAAAUCGCUAUUGCGAACAUAGUCAUCAUGCGGUUUGAUUGCGCUCAGGAGAGUCGUAGUCUGAUUGAGGAGGAGAGAUGGCUUAGACGAACCCUAAAACAGCUUGUACUUGGACUGGCGUCCCUAGAGAGGACUAUUGCGCGACAGAGGUCUAGAAUUACAUGGCUUCAAGAAGGGGAUGCUAACACGCAGUUGUUCCACCUGGUAGCGAAUGGGAGACGUAUGAAAAACUACAUCCCUUCCUUGACCAUGGAUGGGUGCAUCAUUACGGAUCAGAAAGGCAAAGAGGAAGCCUUCUACAAAGCUUACAAGGACCUGCUAGGCAAGGAUGGAGCCCGAGAUUUCACACUUGAUUUGGAGGGGCUUGGUGUCACGGGCAUCGAUCUUUCGGACCAAGAUCGCGUGUUCACUGAGGAUGAGAUUUGGGCAGUUAUCAAGGAUAUGCCUUCGGAUAAAGCACCUGGGCCGAACGGAUUCAUUGGCAUUUUCUUUCAAAAAGCGUGGGAGAUUAUCAAGGUCGAUCUAGUUGCUGCGAUUCACAAGUUUUUCCUUGGCAAUGGAAGGGGAUUUGGAAGGCUCAACCAAGCUCUGAUCACCCUGAUACCGAAGACACCGGAUGCAUGCGCGGUGUUUGACUUUCGACCUAUUUGCCUUGUGCACAGUAUGCCCAAGAUAGCUUCCAAGCUGUUGACCGCCAGGCUAAGACCGCGCAUGGGAGAGCUUGUACAGACGAACCAGUCCGCAUUCAUUAAGGGCAGAUGCUUGCAUGAUAACUUUCUCUUGGUUUGGCAAAUGGCGCGCACGAUGCAUAGGAGGAAAGCCAAGGGAGUGAUGCUCAAACUUGACAUAACCAAAGCGUUUGAUUCGCUGGCGUGGCCGUUUCUGUUUGAGGUGUUAAGAGCCAAGGGCUUCUCGGAGCGCUGGAUCUCUUGGAUUGCGACCUUCCUCACCACCGCUAGCUCGAGGGUGCUUGUGAAUGGAUGUGCUGGCGACAAGUUCAUGCACGCUAAAGGAUUGAGACAAGGGGACUCGAUAUCUCCCCUGCUGUUUGUUAUUGCCAUGGACGUUCUUACGGCCAUCAUCUCCAAGGCACAUGAGGCGCAAGUGCUUAGUACCAUCAAUGGAUGUAGUCCAAUGCAGCGCUUGUCCCUGUAUGCUGAUGAUGUGGUGCUCUUCAUAUAGCCAACAUGGCCAGACCUCAUGUGCGUUAAAGAAAUCCUUGCUAUAUUCGGAGUGGCUUCUGGGCUCAAAGUCAACUAUUCCAAAUCUGUGGCAAUCUUGAUCAGAGCAGAAAAUGAGGAUGAAGAGCUUGUUAAGUCUGCACUGCCAUGGAGAAUCGACGCCUUUCCAUGCAAAUACCUUGGGCUCCAACUUAGCAUCAAGCAACUCAAAAGGUCAGAGUGGCAGCCAAUUGUUGACACGGCUCUCCACAUCCUGCCUAGAUGGCAAAGGGGCCUCGUGACGAGGCCGGGGAGGCUCAUACUUGUCAAUCAAGUAAUGAGGGCGCGCGCUACACAUCACCUCAUGAUAGCGGAGGCACCUAAAUGGGCUCUGGAGAGAGUGGACAAGGGGUGUCGGGCAUUUUUCUGGGCCGGAUCUGAGGCGGUGAAUGGAGGCAAAUGUGUCGUCUCCUGGGCUAGAGUGUGCAUGCCUAAACACUUGGGAGGCUUGGGAGUCAUUGACCUGGCUAAGCACGGUAUCGCUCUAAGACUUAGAUGGGAAUGGCUCAGACGCACUGAUGAUUCCAGGCCGUGGCAAGGCCUCAACCUGACCUCGGACAGAAAGGUGGACCAAGCUUUUGGUAGCCUUGUCAAAUGGGAAGUUGGUUUAGGAGGCAAGACCUUGUUCUGGAAAGACCGAUGGAUACAUGGAGCAGCUAUUAAAGAUUUUGCACCCUUGGUUGUGGCAAAGGUGCGGACACAAGUGGUAAACAAGAGACUUGUGCGAGAUGCGAUGUGCAUGCAUUCAUGGAUGGACGAUGUAAUAGGCGAUCUAUGCACUGAGGGUCUCACCCAGUUCAUCAGCCUUUGGGAGAUUCUCUUGGAAGUUCAUUUGGACGCUCAGGUCGAGGACUGCCCCAUCUGGGCUUGGAACACGUCCGGAGUCUACACGGCAUCAUCUGCGUACAAGAUGCUAUGCGAGGGAGGAGUCCGAUUCCAUUGCUCCGGAGCCAUAUGGAAGUGUUGGGCACUGCUUGCGUGCAAGCUUUUCAUGUGGCUUGCGGUACAAUAUCAUUUAUGGACCUCGGACAGGAGAGCUAGGCACGGAUUGCAAGACCAAGCAUCAAAAUGUUACAUGUGUGACCAGGAGGAGGACACAGUGGACCACAUUUUGCUACAGUGUGUGUUCUCGCGGCAAGUGUGGUUCCGCUGCACUACUAGGGUGGGUUUGACGGCCGACCUUUGCCCAACAAAUGACUCAAGAUUGGUGCAGUGGUGGACGGAUACGAGAAAGCGGAUUGAUAAGUAGUCUCGGAAAGGUUUUGACACCUUUGUGAUGCUAAUUUGUUGGACGAUAUGGAAGCAAAGGAAUGCGAGGGUCUUCGGCACGGGCGUAAUCAAGAAUGAGUGGGAUACUGUUGACUCUAUCUUUGAUGAGUUGAGGACUUGGGCCAAAGCAGGAGCUUUCGGAGGACAACCGAUCAUAGAAUAGUCGAGUAGAGCUAGGGAGUGGUGUGGAGGCUUGGUUAGGGUCGGUUUGUGACUCCUAACUAGCGAUGUGUAAUCUCUUGUACAUAUUUUUCUUCCUUCUAUAAAGCUAAGGUACGCCUUUGGCGUACCCUCGAAAAAGAGAGCCCGUGCAGCGGGCUUCCACGCCCGGUAUAACUCCUUUAAGGGUAGUGCUGCUUGGCUUGAUUCUUGACGGGUCUAUCUGUUGGAAAUAUGCCCUAGAGGCAAUAAUAAAUUAGUUAUUAUUAUAUUUCCUUGUUCAUGAUAAUCGUUUGUUAUCCAUGCUAUAAUUGUAUUGAUAGGAAUCUCAGAUACAUGUGUGGGUACAUAGACAACACCAUGUCCCUAGUAAGCCUCUAGUUGACUAGCUCGUUGAUCAAUAGAUGGUUACGGUUUCCUGACCAUGGACAUUGGAUGUCAUUGAUAACGGGAUCACAUCAUUAGGAGAAUGAUGUGAUGGACAAGACCCAAUCCUAAGCAUAGCACAAGAUCGUGUAGUUCGUUUUGCUAGAGCUUUUUCAAUGUCAAGUAUCUCUUCCUUAGACCAUGAGAUCGUGUAACUCCCGAAUACCGUAAGAGUGCUUUGGGUGUACCAAACGUCACAACGUAACUGGGUGACUAUAAAGGUGCACUACAGGUAUCUCCGAAAGUGUCUGUUGGGUUGACACGGAUCGAGACUGGGAUUUGUCACUCCGUAUGACGGAGAGGUAUCUCUAGGCCCACUCGGUAAUGCAUCAUCAUAAUGAGCUCAAAGUGACCAAGUGGUUGGUCACGGGAUCAUGCAUUACGGUACGAGUAAAGUGACUUGCCGGUAACGAGACUGAAUGAGGUAUUGGGAUACCGACGAUCGAGUCUCGGGCAAGUAACGUACCGAUUGACAAAGGGAAUUGCAUACGGGGUUGAUCGAAUCCUCGACAUCGUGGUUCAUCCGAUGAAAUCAUCGUGGAACAUGUGGGAGACAACAUGGGUAUCCAGAUCCCGCUGUUGGUUAUUGCCCGAGAGCCGUCUCGGUCAUGUCUGCAUGUCUCCCGAACCCGUAGGGUCUACACACUUAAGGUUCGGUGAUGCUAGGGUUGUAUGAAUAUGAGUAUGCAGCAAACCGAAUGUUGUUCGGAGUCCCGGAUGAGAUCCCGGACGUCACGAGGAGUUCCGGAAUUGUCCGGAGGUAAAUAUUUAUAUAUAGGAAGUCUUAUUUUGGUCGCCGGAAAAGUUUCGCACUUUAUCGGUAUUGUACCGGGAGUGCCGAAAGGGGUCCGGGGGUCCACCGGGGGGUCCACCUGCCCCGGGGGGCCACAUGGGCUGUAGGGGGUGCGCCUUGGCCCAUAUGGGCCAAGGGCACCAGCCCCAAGAGGCCCAUGCACCAAGGAGACUUGGAGAGGGGAGAGUCCAAAGAGGGGAAGGCACCUCCGAGGUGCCUUGGGGAGGAUGGACUCCUCCCCCCCUCUUGGCCGCACCCCUUCCUUGGAGGAAGGGGCAAGGCUGCGCCUCCCCCCUCUCUUGCUCCUAUAUAAAGGGAGGGGAGGGAGGGGUGGCCGGACGAAUAAGUCCUGGCGCCUCCCUCCUCCCUGCAACACCUCCUCCUCCUCCCGUAGUUGCUUAGCGAAGCCCUGCCGGAGUUCUGCUGCAUCCACCACCACGCCGUCGUGCUGCUGGAUCUUCAUCAACCUCUCCUUCCCCCUUGCUGGAUCAAGAAGGAGGAGAUGUCAUCCGCUCCGUACGUGUGUUGAACGCGGAGGUGUUGUCCGUUCGGCACUAGGUCAUCGGUGAUCUGAAUCACGGCGAGUACGACUCCAUCAACCCCGUUCCAUUGAACGCUUCCGCUUAGCGAUCUACAAGGGUAUGUAGAUGCACUCUCCUUCCCCUUGUUGCUGGUUUCUCCAUAGAUAGAUCUUGGUGACACGUAGGAAAUUUUUUAAAUUUAUGCUACGUUCCCCAACAGUGGCAUCAUGAGCUAGGUCUAUUGCGUAGAUUCUUUGCACGAGUAGAACACAAAGUAGUUGUGGGCGUUGAUCUUGUUCAAUAUGCUUACCGUUACUAGUCCAAUCUUGUUUCGAUGGUAUUGUGGGAUGAAGCAGCCCGGACCGACCUUACACGUACUCUUACAUGAGACAGGUUCCACCGACUGACAUGAACUUGGUGCAUAAGGUGGCUAGCGGGUGCCAGUCUCUCCCACUUUAGUCGGAACGGAUUCGAUGAAAAGGGUCCUUAUGAAGGGUAAAUAGCAAUUGACAUAUCACGUUGUGGUUUUUGCGUAGGUAAGAAACGUUCUUGCUAGAAACCCAUAGCAGCCAUGUAAAACAUGCAAACAACAAUUAGAGGACGUCUAACUUGUUUUUGCAGGGUAUGCUAUGUGAUGUGAUAUGGCCAAGAAGAAUGUGAUGAAUAUAUGUGAUGUAUGAGAUUGAUCAUGUUCUUGUAAUAGGAAUCACGACUUGCAUGUCGAUGAGUAUGACAACCAGCAGGAGCCAUAGGAGUUGUCUUUAUUUAUUGUAUGACCUGCGUGUCAUUGAACAACGCCAUGUAAUUACUUUACUUUAUUGCUAACCGGUAGCCAUAGUAGUAGAAGUAAUAGUUGGAGAGACAACUUCAUGAAGACACGAUGAUGGAGAUCAUGAUGAUGGAGAUCAUGGUGUCAUGCCGGUGAUGAUGAUGAUCAUGGAGCCCCGAAGAUGGAGAUCAAUGGAGCUAUAUGAUAUUGGCCAUAUCAUGUCACUACUAUAUAAUUGCAUGUGAUGUUUAUUAUGUUUAUGCAUCUUGUUUACUUAGAAUGACGGUAGUAAAUAAGAUGAUCCCUUACAACAAUUUCAAGAAGUGUUCUCCCCUAACUGUGCACCAUUGCUAAAGUUCGUCGCUUCUAAGCACCACGUGAUGAUCGGGUGUGAUGGAUUCUUACGUUCACAUACAACGGGUGUAAGACAGAUUUACACACGCGAAACACUUAGGGUUAACUUGACGAGCCUAGCAUGUACAGACAUGGCCUCGGAACACAGAGACCGAAAGGUCGAGCAUGAGUCGUAUAGUAGAUACGAUCAACAUGAAGAUGUUCACCGAUGAUGACUAGUCCGUCUCACGUGAUGAUCGGACACGGCCUAGUUGACUCGGAUCAUGUAAUCACUUAGAUGACCAGAGGGAUGUCUAUCUGAGUGGGAGUUCAUAAGAUGAACUUAAUUAUCCUGAACAUAGUCAAAAGAUCUUUGCAAAUUAUGUCGUAAGCUCGCGCUUUAGUUCCACUGUUUAGAUAUGUUCCUAGAGAAAAUAUAGUUGAAAGUUGAUAGUAGCGAUUAUGCGAUCAGUAGAAAGCAUAUGUCCUUAAUGCACCGCUCAGUGUGCUGAACCCCAAACGUCGUUUGUCGAUGUUACGAACAUCGGACAUACACGUUUUGAUAACUACGUGAUAGUUCAGUUAAAUGUUUUAAGUAGAGGCACCAAAGACGUUUUCGAAACAUCGCGGAACAUAUGAGAUGUUUCGAGGGAUGAAAUUGGGAUUUCAGGCUCGUGCCCACGUCAAGAGGUAUGAGACCUUCGACGAUUUUCUUAGCCUGCAAACUAAGGGAGAAAAGCUCAAUCGUUGAGCUUGUGCUUAGAUUGUCUGAGUGCAACAAUCACUUAAAUCGAGUGUGAUUUGAUCUUCCAGAUGAGAUAGUGAUGUUUCUCCAAAGUCAUUGCCACCAAGCUGCUAGAGCUUCGUGAUGAACUAUAACAUAUCAAGGAUAGAGAUGAUGAUCCUUGAGGUAUUCGUGUUGUUUGACAUCGUGAAAGUAGAAAUCAAGAAGGAGCAUCAAUUGUUGAUGGUUGGUGAAACCACUAGUUUCAAGAAGGGCAAGGGCAAGAAGGGAUGCUUCAUGAAACGGCAAAUCAGCUGCUGCUCUAGUGAAGAAACCCAAGGUUGAACCCAAACCCGAGACUAAGUGCUUCUGUAAUAAGGGGAACAACCACUGGAGCAGAAUUAUCCUAGAUACUUGGUAGAUGAGAAGGCUGGCAAAGUCGAUAGAAGGAUAAUGGAUAUACAUUAUGUUAAUGUGUACUUUACUAGUACUCCUAGUAGCACCAGGGUAUUAAGAUACCGGUUCAGUUGCUAAGUGUUAGUAACUCGAAAUAAAAGAGCUACGGAAUAAACGGAGACUAGCUAAAGGUGAGCUGACGAUACGUGUUGGAAGUGUUUCCAAGGUUGAUGUGAUCAAGCAUCGCACGCUCCCUCUACCAUCGAGAUUGGUGUUAAACCCAAAUAAUUGUUAUUGGUGUUUGCGUUGAGCAUAGACAUGAUUGGAUUAUGUCUGUCGCAAUAUGGUUAUUCAUUUAAGGAGAAUAAUGGUUACUCUAUUUAUUUGAAUAAUACCUUCAAUGGUCUAGCACCUAAAAGGAAUGGUUUAUUGAAUCUCGAUCAUAGUGAUACACAUUUUCAUGCCAAAAGGAUAUAAGAUAGUAAUGAUGGUACCACUUACUUGUGGCAUUGCCAUGUAAGUCAUAUUGGUAUAAACCGCAUGAAGAAGCUCCAUGUUGAUGGAUCUUUGGACUCACUCGUUUUGAAAAGUUUGAGACAUGUGAACCAUGUCUAUUGGUGUAUACGCAUGAAGAAACUCCACGUAGAUGGAUCGUUUGGACUCACUUGAUUUUGGAUCACUUGAGAUAUGCAAAUUAUACCACAUGGGCAAGAUGACUGAAAGCCUCGUUUUCAGUAAAAUGGAACAAGAUAGCAACUUGUUGGAAGCAACACAUUUUGAUGUGUGCAGUCCAAUGAGUGCUGAGGCAUGCAGUGAAUAUCGUUAUGUUCUUACUUCACGGAUGAUUUGAGUAGAUACUGAGUAUAUUUACUUGAUAAAACACAAGUCUGAAUUAUUGAAUGGUUCAAGUAAUUUCAGAGUGAAGUUGAAGAUCAUCGUGAUAAGAGGAUAAAAUGUCUAUGGUACGAUCAUAGAGAUGAGUAUCUGAGUUACAAGCUUUGGCACGCAAUUAAGACAUUGUGGAAAUUGUUUCACAAUUAAUACCGCCUGGAACACCAUAGUGUGAUGGUGUGUCCGAACAUCAUAGUUGCACCCUAUUGGAUAUGGUGGUACCAUGAUGUCUCUUAUCGAAUUACCACUAUCGUUCAUGGGUUAGGCAUUAGAGACAACCGCACUCACUUUAAUAGGGCACCACGUAAUUCCAUUGAGAUGACACCGUGAGAACUAUGGCUUAAAGAAACCUAAGCUGUCGUUUCUUGAAAGUUUGGGGCUGCGACGCUUAUGUGAAAAAGUUUCAUCAUGAUAAGCUCGAACCCAAAACGGAUAAAAUGCAUCUUCAUAGGACACCCAAAACAAGUGGGUAUACCUCCUAAUUCAGAUCCGAAAGCAAUAGGGAUUGUUUCUUGAAUCGGGUCCUUUCUCGAGGAAAAGUUUGUCUCGAAAAGUUGAGUGGGAGGAUGGUGGAGACUUGAUGAGGUUAUUGAACCGUCACUUCAACUAGUGUGCAGCAGGGCACAGGAAGUUGUUCCUGUGGCGCCUACACCAAUUGAAGUAGAAACUUAUGAUAGUGAUCAUAAAGUUUCGGAUCAAGUCACUAUCGUACCUCGUAGGGUGACAAGGAUGCGUACUGCUUCAGAGUGGUACAGUGAUCCUGUCUUGAAGGUCAUGUUGCUAGACAACAAUGAACCUACGAGCUAUGGACAAGUGAUGGUGGGCCCAAAUUCCGACAAAUGGUUAGAAACCAUGAAAUCCGAGAUAGGAUCCAUGUAUCAGAACAAAGCAUGGACUUUGGUGGACUUGCCCGAUAAUCGGCAAGCCAUUGAGAUAAAUGGAUCUUUAAGGAGAAGACGGACAUGGACGGUAAUGUCACCGUCUAUGAAGCUUGACUUGUGGCGAAGAGUUUUUCACAAGUUCAAGGAGUUGACUACGAUGAGAUUUUCUCAUCCGUAGCGAUGCUUAAAGUCCGUCGGAAUCAUGUUAGCAUUAGCUACAUUUAUGAAAUCUGGAAGAUGGAUGUCAAAACGAGUUUCCUUACCAGUUUCGUAAGGAAAGGUUGUAUGUGAUACAAUCAGAAAGGUUUUGUCGAUCCUAAGGAUGCUAACAGGUAUGCUAGCUCCAGCAAUCCUUCCAUGGACUGGAGUUAGCAUCUCGGAGUUGGAAUAUGCACUUUGAUAAGAUGAUCAAAGAUUUUGGGUUUAUACAAAGUUUAUGAGAAACUUGUAUUUCCAAAGAAGUGAGUGGGAGCACUAUAGAAUUUCUGAUAAGUAUAUGUUGUUGACAUAUUGUUGAUUAGAAAUGAUGUAGAAUUUCUGGAAAGCAUAUAGGGUUAUUUGAAAGGUGUUUUUCAAUAGAAAACCUGGAUUAAGCUACUUGAACAUUGAGCAUCAAGAUCUAUGAGGAUAGAUCAAAAAUGCUUAAUGGUACUUUCAAAUGAGCAUAUACCUUGACAUGAUCUUGAAGGUGUUCAAGAUGGAUCAGUCAUAGAAGGAGUUCUUGCCUGAGAUGUAAGGUAUGAAGUUCAGACUUAAAGCUUGACCACGGCAGAAGAGAGAGAAAGGACGAAUGUCGUCCCCUAUGCUUCAGACGUAGUCUCUAUAGUAUGCUAUGCUGUGUACCGCACCGGAAGUGUGCCUUGCCAUGAGUCAGUCAAGGGGUACAAAAAUGAUCCAGGAAUGGAUCAUUAGACAGCGGUCAAAAUUGUCCUUAUAACAAAUAAGGACAUGUUUCUCGAUUAUGGAGGUGAUAAAGAGUUCGGCGUAAAGGGUUACGUCGAUGCAAGCUUUAACACCUAUCCGAGUGACUCUGAGUAGCAAACCGGAUACGUAUAGUGGAGUAACCAUUUGGAAUAGCUCCAAGUGGAGCGUGGAAGCAGCAUUUACAAUAUGACAUAGAGAUUUGCGAAGUACACACGGAUCUGAAUGUUGCAGACCCGUUGACUAAAACCUCUCUCACAAGCAGAACAUGAUCAAACCCCAGAACUCAUUGAGUCUUAAUCACAUGAUGAUGUGAACUAGUAUAAUGACACUAGUAAACUCUUUGGAUGUUGGUCACAUGGCGAUGUGACCUGUCAGUGUUAAUCACAUGGCGAUGUGAACUAGAUUAUUGACUCUAGUGCAAGUGGGAGACUGUUGGAAAUAUGCCCUAGAGGCAAUAAUACAUUAGUUAUUAUUAUAUUUCCUUGUUCAUGAUAAUUGUUUGUUAUCCAUGCUAUAAUUGUAUUGAUAGGAAACUCAGAUACAUGUGUGGGUACAUAGACAACACCAUGUCCCUAGUAAGCCUCUAGUUGACUAGCUCGUUGAUCAAUAGAUGGUUACGGUUUCCUGACCAUGGACAUUGGAUGUCAUUGAUAACGGAAUCACAUCAUUAGGAGAAUGAUGUGAUGGACAAGACCCAAUCCUAAUCAUAGCACAAGAUCGUGUAGUUCGUUUUGCUAGAGCUUUUUCAAUGUCAAGUAUCUCUUCCUUAGACCAUGAGAUCGUGUAACUCCCGGAUACCGUAAGAGUGCUUUGGGUGUACCAAACGUCACAACGUAACUGGGUGACUAUAAAGGUGCACUACAGGUAUCUCCGAAAGUGUCUGUUGGGUUGACACGGAUCGAGACUGGGAUUUGUCACUCCGUAUGACGGAGAGGUAUCUCUGGGCCCACUCGGUAAUGCAUCAUCAUAAGGAGCUCAAAGUGACCAAGUGGUUGGUCACGGGAUCAUGCAUUACAGUACGAGUAAAGUGACUUGCCGGUAACGAGACUGAACGAGGUAUUGGGAUACCGACGAUCGAGUCUCGGGCAAGUAACGUACCGAUUGACAAAGGGAAUUUCUUACGGGGUUGAUCAAAUCCUCGACAUCGUGGUUCAUCCGAUGAAAUCAUCGUGGAACAUGUGGGAGACAACAUGGGUAUCCAGAUCCCGCUGUUGGUUAUUGCCCGAGAGCCGUCUCGGUCAUGUCUGCAUGUCUCCCGAACCCGUAGGGUCUACACACUUAAGGUUCGGUGACGCUAGGGUUGUAUGAAUAUGAGUAUGCAGCAAACCGAAUGUUGUUCGGAGUCCCGGAUGAGAUCCCGGACGUCACGAGGAGUUCCGGAAUUGUCCGGAGGUAAAGAUUUAUAUAUAGGAAGUCUUAUUUUGGUCGCCGGAAAAGUUUCGCACUUUAUCGAUAUUGUACCGGGAGUGCCGAAAGGGGUUCGGGGGUCCACCGGGGGGGUCCACCUGCCCCGGGGGGGGCACAUGGGCUGUAGGGGGUGCGCCUUGGCCCAUAUGGGCCAAGGGCACCAGCCCCAAGAGGCCCAUGCGCCAAGGAGACUUGGAGAGGGGAGAGUCCAAAGAGGGGAAGGCACCUCCGAGGUGCCUUGGGGAGGAUGGACUCCUCCCCCCCCUCUUGGCCGCACCCCUUCCUUGGAGGAAGGGGCAAGGCUGCGCCCUCCCCCCUCUCUUGCGCCUAUAUAAAGGGAGGGGAGGGAGGGGUGGCCGGACCAAUAAGUCCUGGCGCCUCCCUCCUCCCUGCAACACCUCCUCCUCCUCCCGUAGUUGCUUAGCGAAGCCCUGCCGGAGUUCUGCUGCAUCCACCACCACGCCGUCGUGCUGCUGGAUCUUCAUCAACCUCUCCUUCCCCCUUGCUGGAUCAAGAAGGAGAAGACGUCAUCCGCUCCGUACGUGUGUUGAACGCGGAGGUGCUGUCCGUUCGGCACUAGGUCAUCGGUGAUCUGAAUCACGGCGAGUACGACUCCAUCAACCCCGUUCCAUUGAACGCUUCCGCUUAGCGAUCUACAAGGGUAUGUAGAUGCACUCUCCUUCCCCUCGUUGUUGGUUUCUCCAUAGAUAGAUCUUGGUGACAGGUAGGAAAUUUUUUGAAUUUAUGCCACGUUCCCCAACACUAUCCCCAUCUUGCGGACAGUGUCCUGAUAUAUCAGAUUGAGACUGCUGCCGUCGUCCAUAAGGACCCGACUGAGGUGGUAUCCGUUGAUUAUUGGGUCGAGCACUAGAGUGGCUGAACCCCCGUGAUGGAUACUAGUCAGACGAUCCCUGCGACCAAAAGUGAUCGGACAGGUCGACCAUGGGUUGAACUUGGGGGCGAUGGCACUACAAAAAAAAGACACAUCCGUGACAUUUUGGGCCAAACAAAAUUUUUUCUGUCAUACUUAUGACACUUCUAUGACGAUAAUUGUGACAAAACCCGGUAUCAUCAUAGAUGUGGUGGGCUCCUACUUCUAUGACAAAAAAUCAUGACAGAAAAUGGGCUUUUCAUCCUGGGCGGGCCGGAGACGCGACUGCAUGACAUUCUUUGGGCCGUCCAUGACAGAAAAAACCAUGGUAGAAGCGAGGGCGAGGAAAAAUUCAGGGAAUUCCCGGUUACGGUGGGUGGUCGGGGGGCCGAGCGAUGUGCGUUUCUCCCGUACACGUACGCGCGUGUGUGCGAGGCGUUGGGCUCUAACUGAACCCGAUCGAGGCGUUGGGCUCUAACUGAACCCGGGCGAUUGCACUAGCUACGUUACUGAACCCGAGUGAUUCCUUCGCUACUGCUGCUAACUAAAGCCGAUCGAUGCUACCUCUGGAUGAACAGUGAGAAUUUGCUAGGGGGGGUUGGAUGAACAGUGAGCGUUGCUGGGGGGUUUGGAUGAACAGUGAGCAGCGGGGUGGAUGAACAGGACCCCGUGGUGUUGCCUCCGGAUGAACAGGACCCCGAUAGAUCGAGCCGGUUGGGGCUGGAUGAACAGGACCCCGUGGAGGGCUGUAUGAACAGGACGACCCCAUGGAGGUCUGGAAUAGUAGAUGGUGGAGGGAUGGAUGGACAGUAGCCCAUUAAGGGGUGGUUGAACAGGAGCCCGUGGAGAGGGCUGGUUGAACAGUAGCCGGUGGAGUAGCGCACGGUGGAGGCUAGAUGAAUAGGAGCCCGUGGAUGAGCAGUCGCAGGUGGAGGCUGGAGGAGGUUGACGGUGGAUGAACAGUAGCCCGUGGAGGAUGGAGGAGGUCGACGGUGGAGAUGAACAGUAUCCCGUGGAGUCCCGUUUUGCAGUACACCACACCCCUCCCGAUGAACAGGACCCCUGUUUCGACCGUAGCGCUCCAACACAAGUCCAUUUCCUCCGUUUUGCAGUACGCCACACCCCUCCAGAUCAACAUGACCCUGUUUCGACCGUAGGAGGUCCAACACAAGUCCGUUUCCUCCGAUUUGCGGUACGCCAGACCCCUCCCGAUGAAUAGGAUCUCGUUUCGAACGUGGUCGGUCGAACACAAGGCCGUUUCCUCCGUUCUGCGGUAUGCCAGGCCUUGUUUCCAUCGGCUGGUCCGUCCAAGCCCUCCCGAUGAACACGACGACGCAUUCUGUUCCAACCUAGCCGGUUGGCUCCCCAUGAACACGACGACGACACUAUUUCUCCGUUCUGACCCAGCCAUGUACACGAGCCCUGGUCAUACCUAUGCACGAAUAGGCGUUCGAGACCCCGCCCGUAUGUACGUACAUGGCCGUAUUUUCUUUCUUGCACACUUGCCGCUGUACGUACGUGUACAUGCUACAUGCGCGCCUCUACUACGACACGUGCGCACCUCUACAUCGACCAGUAUGUACGUACACAUUCGGGACCAAAAUGACAAGCUACGUACGCUUCGACAAGGUGGGUCCCGACUGUCAGGCACUUGCGUGCGAAGAUGUAGAUGGUGGGUCCUAGCAGUCAGGGGGGAAUAGUUUUUUUUUGCCCAGACGCACUUCCUUGCAUGCGAAGAUGUAGCUGGUGGGUCUCAACAGUCAGGGGGAAAACGUCUUUUUGUGAAAUAAGGUGGCACGUCCGGUGGGUCCCUGCUGUCAGGUGGAGGAAUAAUUAUUUUGCGCGUAAUAAGGAGGCACUUCCUUGCGGCCGCCAUGGACCCUACUGUUAGCCUCUCCACGUAUAGUACUCUUCCAAUGGAAGUCGUUCCUUGACCACGUUGACCACUCCGCGCCGAGAGCACCAGGGCGAUGGACGACGGCGAGGCCUAGGAAUGGGAUGACGCGGAGCCGGGGGAGACGCGGCAGUGGAUGCCCACGCGUAGAGGAGUAUGAUGGUUCACUGGUUCGGCUGCGGUGUGAGGCUGUCGUCGCUGCAGAAUAACAGGGGGUGUGGGUGAGUAAAGGGAUGGCCUGGCCAGUGGUGGGAGUAGUAGGGGGCGGUGAGGCCUCCACAACAUCACAACCGGCCACGGGAGGCAGGAGCACGCGGCACGACCGGUGCUGCUUUGGGCGGCUGGAGCAAGAAGACCAGAGGUUGAAGAAGCACUAUGGCUGUUGGAUGGACAUCGUACGGUCACUAGAGCUAGAAUCAUUCAUAUUGACUAAGUUGACAAAGCCCUCCGUCCCCGUCAACUUAGUAGGCCCACAAGUCAGCCUCCCACCAAGGUGGGUCCCAGCUAGCAGAGGGAGUAUUCAUUUUUUCUGUGUAAUAAGGAGGCACUUCCGGUGGGUCCGAGCUGACAGCGGGGGGAACGUUUUUUUUGCGAAAUACGGUGGCCCAUCAGGUGGGUCCCAGCAGUCAGGGUGGAAACAUUUUUUUGCAAAAUACGGUGGCUCGUCUAGUGGGUAGCUGCUGUCAGGUGAAGGAAUCAUUAUUUUCCACAUAAUAAGGAGGCACUUCCUUGCUGCGGACGUUGACCCAGCUGUCAGCCUCUCCACGUACAGUACACUUCCGAUGGAAGUCGUUCCUUGACCACGUUGACCACGCUGCGUUCCGUUGCAUGCAUGUGUCCAUGGGCGUGGUGCAUCCCCACUGUCAGCCUCUCACGUAUAGUCAUCCUCCGAUGACUCUCGAUUGUUGACCAUGUUGACCACACCGUGCCGAGCGCACCAAGGACGGUGGACGACGGCGAGGCCCUAGACUGGAACAACCCGGAGAUGGGGAAGAUGGGGCAGUGGAGUUGCAGAUGGAGAGGAGUGGGAAAUUUGACUGGUUCGGGUGCGCGGCAGCAUAGCCGCGGUGCCGCCCAUGGGAGACAGGAGCAAGAACAGAGGUUGAAGAAGGAGCACGGUUGUUGGAUUAACAUCGAAUGGUCCAACUACUAGAAUCAUUUGUUGAUUAAGUUGACAAAGCCCUGCGUACACGUCCGCUUAGUAGGCCCACAAGUCAUCCACCAAAUCUGACGGGUCCCAGCUGUCAACGGGAGGAAUAUAUUUUUUCGCAUAACAAGGAGGCACUUCCUUCUGUGCGAAGAUACAGCCGGUGGGUCCCAGCUGUCAGGUGGAGGAAACCUUUUUUCAGCUUAAUAAGGAGGAACUUUCCUUGCGUGCGACCAUGGACCUCGUCGGUCCCAGCCGUCAGGCUCUCCACGUACAGUCCUCUUCCGAUGACUAUCAUUUGUUGACCACGCCGCACUGAGCGCAGCGAGGCGGUGGACGACGGCGAGGCCCCGGAUGGGAACGACUCGGAGAUGGGAAGACGCAGCAGUGGAGUCGCAGAUUGAGAGGAGGAGAAGGGUUAUAACUGGUUCUGGUGCAGCGUGGGACUGCAGUCGAUUGAGAAUAACAGGAGGUGUGGAGGGGUGGAGGGAUAGCCUGGCCGGCGGUGGGGUAGCGCUUCGCAGCGAUGCGUGCUAAGCAAAGCCGCUAGCCGUCGGAGGCCGGACCAGGCAGUCUCGACGACAUUGGAAGAAGAAGAUGAGAGAUUGAAGGUGCAUGUUGGCCAUUGGAUAUAAAUCCAAUGGUUGUGGAUGUCAUAAUCAUUUGUUGAUCAAGUUGGCAAUGCCCUGCGUAGGCUUCAACCUAUUGGCCCACAUGUCAGCCUGCAAAAAUGUGGCAUAUAUUUAACCCAUGUUUUCUAGAAUGUACAGUCCAUUUGCUGGGCUAGGUGAACAAAUAAUUUCGCAUCAAUCAAGCCCAUUUAUAUUUUCUAAGAAAUCCCAGCCCACUUGCACUUCCUUGAAAUACACGAAUUAGCUGGGCUCGUUAUAUAUAUAUAUAUAUAUAUAUAUAUAUAAUGUUAUGUUAGAAGGAGCAAUUAAUAUCAAAAAAUAAACCGGAGAGGCACAUUAUAUAUAAUUAACAAAUUAGCGAGUUAUUGCUCAAAAUAAAAAUGAGCGCAUUAUUAUUACAUUGGUCCUUAAAAUCUUUGCAAGCUUUUGUACGCAAUCACCAGGAUUUUCCUUGCCUGUGAGUCAAAAAUAAUCAGGAUUUUCCUUGCCAACUUCUGUUAAACAUUUACUUUUAUAAGUUAAUAAUACAUGGGAUGUUUUUAUAAUGUAUAUAUAAGUCUCUAUUAAAUAUAUGAUAAUAGUAAUAAUAUAAAUAUAUAUAAUGUGGUUAGAAGGGAAAACAUAAAUUGGACACACCAUUAUUAUUCUUAUAUAUAGAUAGAUAGAGCAGAGACCUGCGUUUUAUUAAAAAAAUGCAUUGGGUUGUCGAUCUUUAAGAAAAAGCCCAUAGGCCAGUAUGGACCUCAAAAAAUAAGUUGAAACAAACUGUCUUCGUAUGUCGUGGGCUACGCAUGUUAAAAUACAAAACCUAGGCGUAGCUGAUACUUGUUUGCCCUCUGGAUAAAAAUGAUACCAGAUCCCCGAGCGAACUAGAUUAAAGAGGGGGCCGACGGCAUGACUAAAGAAGCACAUCAGGAGCGAUUUUUUUUCUUCAGUGGAUGGCUCGCCUCCCAGUCUGUCGUGGUGGACCAGCAGCGCAUUUGCUGGGCGGGCCAACCUACAGAAACCAGCACUCGAUUUUUCAUCAAGCCUCCAAAAGAACGCAGUACUAUGUUUGUUUUGAGGCCGAAAACAUUACGGCAGGGGUUGAGCGGGGCAGGGGGAAGACAGAGUAAAAAGAUAAAAAGAACUGAUGCGCCAUUGCUACCCUAACAAAGCAGGUGCAAUUCUUCUCGAAAAGAAGGUGUGCCGUUGACACCCACACGUCACAUAUCCCACAGUAGGCAUACUAACAAGUUCACACACAAGUACAACAGAAAAGGUAAACAUUCGUAUUAAACUCAGGUUCACAUGACAUGUUCAUAUUCAUAGCCAACAUUCACUAUCAACAACUCAAAAGAUUCAUAUAUACAUAAGUUCAACAUGUCUAUGCAUCCAAAUGAUUGAUAGAUCACACGACAAUAUUCAUACAUAAUUCACAAAAAGAUUUAGAUAUACACAUGUUCAGUAUGUUUAUGCAUCCAAAUGAUUGAGAUCAUAGCCAAUAUGAUCCAUGGACGAACUUUAAUUACCUAGGGUACAGACUGGUAAAUGGUGUUCAGUCAGAGGUACUUCUUGCUAAAAUUAAUGUUUGUACGAGUAAACUUUCGAGUACAUAAGAGGCAGCACAGACAAUCUGAACUUUGCUUGUAGGUUUAUCCUCAAAUAGUGGCCUCAUGCCGAGGGAGGUUUGAGCAACUUGGCCACUACUUUCAUCCAACUAGUUUAUUGGCUCAUCUUGGUCCUGUAGCUCGCCAAAAUUCUACAUUGCAGACGAGAAAGGAGGCGGUUGAGAAAAUGAACCACCCAAUUUUUUUGCGCAGUUCAACUGAAAUGGAGCAUCCCUGGCGUGCAGACUGAUUAAGUGCCAGAUGAAUAUACGCGUCAACCAACUUGUCUAGAAUCUUUAGACUCCAUGCCAUACAGUUCACUACCAUAUCUGUCGAUAACCAAAAGGCACAAGUUGGGACCAAAGACUGGACUGUGUUCUUCUGGGCUAUGCGCCAAGAAAUAUUUUUGGCAUUCACUCUCCUAAUACUUGGAGUUUGACAACUGGUUGACACCGGUUGAUACUCGAAUGAAUAUAUACACUUCUUGUCAACAUCGAUGGUUGUCUGAGUGAACUUUGGAGUACAUAGCAACAACAUAAGUAUAUGUCCAUCUGAUCUUUUUGUGUAGUUCUACUGAAAUCACCCAAUGCAAUGAUUUGCCUGCGAGUUCAGGCUCCAAGUUACUCCUUUAUAAAAUCGGCAAAUAGUAGCACAAUACCAAAUUACCAAUACAUGACAAGCACAAUAAUCAGGAUAAAGACCAGUACCAACCUGUGUGAGGUAGCAUAUCAAUUACUAUUUCCUUUGACUGGAAGCCGAGAUAAGCGAAGCGACUGACAGCAAAGGAAGAAAGCAGGCCCAGAUUAGUGACUGGCAAGAAAGGAUAGAAGCUGUCGAGGCAAUGAAGCACCCAAAGUUUUUGUGCAGUUCCACCAAAAUCGAGCAUCCCUGUUGGUACAUAUAUUGAGAGUGAGAUUACUGUAAUAGUGGGACUAGUUGAUGAAACAUACAUUAACAAAUAGAAGCACCCUCAUUAUCUUAAUGGGUAAAGUUAGCAACAUAGUAGUCUUGCUUAAAAAGAGGUAUUAGUUUAUUUAAUCAGUGCUAAUUAGCUCAACACUCAAAGCAUUGCCAUUUAUCAUAGGUUGCAAAACUUUAACAUGCAAAGAUAAAGGAGUUUCUCAUGACAGUAGCACGAUACAAAUAGAGAUGACAUCAAACUAAUAUGGAUGAAGGCCUUAGGCCCGUACCAACCUGAGAAAAAAAGAUUAUUCAUGUAGUCCCAUAAGAGAUGAUAAAGCACUCAGUGGAAUCACUGAAUAGUAUAUAUUUUUGUGCACUUCAAAUGUAUGGUUGAAAUCACUCUUGUUUACCAGUGCUGAGAUUAUAUCGAAAUAUUAUCAAGAACUUCCAACAGAGUUAAAGCACUGGUUGGGAUAUAGUUCAUUGUAUUGUCUUGUGUAGUUCCACUAAAAUGUAUGAUUGGCACAACAUGAUCCCUGUUUGCACAAGCAGGAACAAGGCGAAACCUUCAUUAGCUUAGUGAGAAAGGAUAGAAAGACAUUAGCAUAUUACUCUAACAGUAGCAUCAAAUUCAUGAUGGACAAUACACAAAACAUUGCCUCAUUGAACCAAUGGCAAUAAAUUGACAUGCAAAACAAUAGCACUAUUAUGUCAUGACACUAAUAAUAUCCCCUCCCUGCUCCACCACAUGAUUCACCUCCAUAGACAAACAUACACAUGUACAUGAUUCAACAUAGGGUCCUACUAAAGAUUUGUUUAACUCCAACAGGAAAAAUUAGGCACCAAUAAAUUAGUGGUACUUAAGUACUCCUAAUUAAGUAAGUGAGAUGGCAGAAGUGGAAGGGCUCCCUGGAGGAUCGUCUCACAUGUAAGGUAGUCGUUGCCGGAGCCCUUGAAUGGCCUCGACUGAGGCCUCUGGCUUCAGCAAGAUCGCCUUGGCACUGUUUAUUCUUCUUCCUCCUCUUCAUGCUCUGUUUCUCUUUCUCCUCACCAGUUGGUGAAACCAAGUACAUGAUUCGCCUUCUAUUUCAGAAUUGGUUUUGUCAGUGAGGGAGUACAAGUGUACUAGUAAAAAUAGCAUUAUUUUCUCAUGGCAGUCGGAAAGUAGAGAUGAACACAUGCAUUAAAUAUCAUUCUUACCUAAAGGAAGGUUAUAGCGCCAAUAUGGAUGAUGAGGAUUGGAACACAAAUCUCCCUUUGUGCAGUUCCACCGAAAUGAACCAACUGUUCCAUUCUGACAUUCCGGUUAAACAGCACAAAAGUCACUUCUUUUAAGAAGAGUUUUGUGUAGUGCACCAAAAGGUCACAACAGCAACCAGGUGAAUUGGAUAUCCCUGUUUGCACAAAAAGCUACAGAGGAAACAGUCAGAGUCUCAAACAAUUGUAGGAAAAAACAUUUGGCUAAACUUGUCAUGGCUUAUAACAGUGACAUGGCUUCAUUUUUACCAGGGACAUUAGAUUAAGAACAGCUAAAUAUUUGGUAUAAGGGCAUGGGAUAGUGGGUGCACCAGCAGUCCAGCACCAUGUACCUAAACAGGUGCAUAAAGUGGUGAUUCAUAGUUUGUUGCCCCGAGAAACAAACAUCCAAGAAACAUAUCUAGGUUGGUCCCACUUUUGUUCACUCUAGCCACCUACUCCUAUGUGUGGAUAGCAAAUCUAGUCCUGGUCAUACCACUGUGUACAUCGUUACCCCUAUAUUUCCCUUUUCGACCAAGAGACCGGUUGGAUGACCAGUUUGUACUACUUUCACCCCCUUUCCUUCUUGUUUGUACCAAAUCCGAUGUACAUACUAAAUUCCCCCACCCCCACUUUAUUUCUUGUUUGAACCAAGUACUCCCUCCGUCCGGAAUUACUUGUCAUCAAAAUGGAUGUGUCUAGAACUAAAAUACAUCUAGAUACAUCCAU
rnacentral:lncRNA from 1 species